CCUACGGGAGGCAGCAGUGGGGAAUAUUGCGCAAUGGGCGAAAGCCUGACGCAGCGACGCCGCGUGAGGGAUGAAGGUCUUCGGAUCGUAAACCUCUGUCAGCAGUGAAGAACGGUCACUGUGCUAAUCAGCAGUGAAUUGACGGUACCUGCAAAGGAAGCACCGGCUAACUCCGUGCCAGCAGCCGCGGUAAUACGGAGGGUGCGAGCGUUAAUCGGAAUUACUGGGCGUAAAGCGCUCGUAGGCGGUAUGUCAAGUCAGUGGUGAAAUCCCCGCGCUCAACGUGGGAACUGCCUUUGAAACUGGCAAACUGGAGUGUGUGAGAGGAUAGUGGAAUUCCAGGUGUAGGGGUGAAAUCCGUAGAUAUCUGGAGGAACACCAGUGGCGAAGGCGACUAUCUGGAAAAUAACUGACGCUGAGGAGCGAAAGCGUGGGUAGCAAACAGGAUUAGAUACCCGGGUAGUC
rnacentral:rRNA from 1 species